ACUUGCUUCCUUUGCCGGCGACCGGCGCACGGGUGAGUAACACGUAUCCAACCUGCCCUUUACUCGGGGAUAGCCUUUCGAAAGAAAGAUUAAUACCCGAUGGCAUAAUGAUUCCGCAUGGUUUCAUUAUUAAAGGAUUCCGGUAAAGGAUGGGGAUGCGUUCCAUUAGGUUGUUGGUGAGGUAACGGCCCACCAAGCCUUCGAUGGAUAGGGGUUCUGAGAGGAAGGUCCCCCACAUUGGAACUGAGACACGGUCCAAACGCCUACGGGAGGCAGCAUG
rnacentral:rRNA from 1 species